UGAACGCUGGCGGAAUGCUUUACACAUGCAAGUCGGGCGGCAGCAUGGACUUCGGUCUGAUGGCGCGACGGGAGGACGGGAUAACGGAUGCAUCGAACGUACCCAGUCGUGGGGGAUAACGUAGCGAAAGUUACGCUAAUACCGCAUACGUCCUACGGGAGAAAGCAGGGGAUCGCAAGACCUUGCGCGAUUGGAGCGGCCGAUGUCUGAUUAGCUAGUUGGUGGGGUAAAGGCCCACCAAGGCGACGAUCAGUAGCGGGUCUGAGAGGAUGAUCCGCCACACUGGGACUGAGACACGGCCCAGACUCCUACGGGAGGCAGCAGUGGGGAAUAUUGGACAAUGGGCGAAAGCCUGAUCCAGCAAUGCCGCGUGAGUGAUGAAGGCCUUAGGGUUGUAAAGCUCUUUUACCAGGGAUGAUAAUGACAGUACCUGGAGAAUAAGCUCCGGCUAACUCCGUGCCAGCAGCCGCGGUA
rnacentral:rRNA from 1 species